UACGUAGGGGGCAAGCGUUAUCCGGAUUUACUGGGUGUAAAGGGGGCGCAGACGGCCAUGGCAAGCCCGGUGUGAAGGGCAGGGGCAUAACCCCUGGACUGCACUGGGAACUGUCAGGCUGGAGUGCCGGAGGGGUAAGCGGAAUUCCUGGUGUAGCGGUGAAAUGCGUAGAUAUCAGGAGGAACACCGGCGGCGAAGGCGGCUUACUGGACGGCAACUGACGUUGAGGCCCGAAAGCGUGGGGAGCGAACAGG
rnacentral:rRNA from 1 species